GCUCCCAUGGCGUAGUGGUCACUGCACUCGCCUUGCACGCGGGAGACCUGGGUUCGAUUCCCGGCAGGGUCA
rnacentral:tRNA from 1 species